rnacentral:rRNA from 1 species
GAGUUUGAUUCUGGCUCAGAACGAACGCUGGCGGCGUGGAUAAGACAUGCAAGUCGAACGAGGAACUUCGCCGAAGCUUGCUUCAUUGAAGUUCCUAGUGGCGAACGGGUGAGUAACACGUGAGCAACCUGCCCCGAAGCGGGGGAUAGCCCUCCGAAAGGAGGAUUAAUACCGCAUGUGAUCGCAAGAUUAAAGGUGCCUUCGGGUGCCGCUUUGGGAUGGGCUCGCGGCCUAUCAGCUUGUUGGUGAGGUAACGGCUCACCAAGGCUACGACGGGUAGCUGGUCUGAGAGGAUGAUCAGCCACACUGGAACUGAGACACGGUCCAGACACCUACGGGUGGCAGCAGUCGAGAAUCAUUCGCAAUGGGCGAAAGCCUGACGGUGCGACGCCGCGUGGAGGAUGAAGGCCCUCGGGUCGUAAACUCCUGUCAUCAGAGAGUAAUGGCUUACGGUGAAUAGCCGUGGGUCUUGAUAGUAUCUGAAGAGGAAGGGACGGCUAACUUCGUGCCAGCAGCCGCGGUAAUACGAAGGUCCCAAGCGUUGUUCGGAAUCACUGGGCGUAAAGCGUGUGUAGGCGGCGUGGAAAGUCAGAUGUGAAAGCCCGGGGCUCAACCUCGGAACUGCAUCCGAUACUCCCACGCUAGAAUACCGGAGGGGCAUCUGGAAUUCACGGUGUAGCAGUGAAAUGCGUAGAUAUCGUGAGGAACACUAGUGGCGAAGGCGAGAUGCUGGACGGUUAUUGACGCUCAGACACGAAGGCCAGGGUAGCGAAAGGGAUUAGAUACCCCUGUAGUCCUGGCAGUAAACGGUGUGGGCUUGGUGUAGGGAGAUUCGACCCUCUCUGUGCCGGAGCUAACGCGUUAAGCCCACCGCCUGGGGAGUACGGUCGCAAGACUAAAACUCAAAGAAAAUUGACGGGGACCCGCACAAGCGGUGGAGUAUGUGGCUUAAUUCGAUGCAACC